GCAAAGCAGGGGAAAAUGCCAGCGGAGAAAGUGGAAGAGUGCCACAGAAAAGUUACCGCAUAUGUGGUGAAAAGACUGCAUCCCUUCUCUGACGUAGAAUCGCCAACGUUCAGAACGAAUUCAACAAAUUACAGUAACCAUUACUGUGUGUGGGAUAUGAUCCAUUCUAUCAACCCCAAGUACACCCCCCCUACCAGAGACUAUUUGGCAAACCAGUUAAUCCCAACUUGGUACAAAAUAGAAAAAUCUAAUGUAAUCUCUGAGCUUGCUGAGGUCCACUCUGUUGCCCUCACUUGUGACUCCUGGACUAGCAUUGCUCAGGACCAUUACCUAACUGUCACAGCACACUAUUUAGUGGAGGGCAAAAUGAAGCAAAAAGUGCUGCAAACCAAAGCUGUCUACACAGCCCAGACCGGACAUGUCGUAGCAGAAGAGA